UACGUAGGUGGCAAGCGUUGUCCGGAAUUAUUGGGCGUAAAGCGCGCGCAGGUGGUUCUUUAAGUCUGAUGUGAAAGCCCACGGCUCAACCGUGGAGGGUCAUUGGAAACUGGGGAACUUGAGUCCGGAAGAGGAAAGUGGAAUUCCUGGUGUAGCGGUGAAAUGCGCAGAUAUCAGGAAGAACACCAAUGGCGAAAGCAGCUUUCUGGGACGGUACUGACGCUGAGACGCGAAAGCGUGGGGAGCGAACAGG
rnacentral:rRNA from 1 species